GGUUAAAAAGCUCGUAGUUGGAUUUCGGUUUACUUUGAAAAAAUUAGAGUGUUCAAAGCAGGAUAGGCACAUGUAUACUUUAGCAUGGGAUAAUAUAAUAUGACUUUUUUCUAAGACCGAGGUAAUGAUUGAAAGGGAUAGUUGGGGUUGCUCGUAUUGAGUGGUUAGAGGUGAAAUUCUAGGAUUCACUCAAGACGAACUAAUGCGAAAGCAUUCAACAAGGAUGUUUUCAUUAAUCAAGAACGAAAGUUGAGGGAUCGAAGAUGAUCAGAUACCGUCGUAGWCUCAACUAUAAACUAUGUCAACCGAGGAUCCGCUAGUGUUACAUGGAUGACCUUCCGGGCACUCUCCGAAAAUCACAAGUAUUUGGAUUUCGGGGGGAGUAUGGU
rnacentral:rRNA from 1 species